rnacentral:lncRNA from 1 species
AUGCUGGGGGCUUGGGGAUUCAGAUCCUUGUCUUUGCAUGGUAAGCAUUUUUGGUGACUCAACCAAUCUCCCAGCUCAUCACCUGCUUUUGAAAUGCCCAUGCGCUUGGACAGGAGGGGGCCCCUCACCACCACCACCACCACCACCACUCCUGCCAAGAAAUACCCCAGAAAAGGUACAGGAUCUGUCUGAAGUGCACAGUUCUCAUCUUAGAGUCUCAGCUGUAGAAUUGUAGGCAAGCCAUUUUGAAGUGUGCCCUGUGCAGCUGAGCUGGUAGCUACUGCACAAGGCAGGAACUGGAAACGGGAGACAGUAGGUGGCCCGAGGAUGGGCCACUUCCUUUUCAGUAGCCUGCCUUUCCCUCCAAGGGCUCUGUCCUGAAGAAUUAAAUAUCCCUUUCUUUCCCAUCUGCUAUUUAUUUUCCUGCCCUUACCUUGAAAGGGGGAGGGAAAAAAAAGGUUUUUUGUUUUUUUGUUUUUUGCUUUUGUUUUAUCUCUGAAUGUCCAGGGGAGAAGAAGGGGAGAGUGGGAGAGUGUGGCUGAGCCUAGAGGGAUCUGCAGGGUAGCUAUCAGAGGAACCAGCUGAAGAUGGAUGUGGUCACUCAUUGGGCUGGGCUCCCACAUGGAACAUGCACAGGAAGCAGGGUUUGGGACUGGAGAUAAUUACACAUAAUAAAUUUGCCUGGUCUCCAGGGCUGCCAGGAGAAAUGUUUAGCCCAGAAAAUCAUCCAGCGCUCGGCACAACUGGGGAAGUCAGGAGGCUCACUGUAGGAACCCAUCAGGCUGCGAGAAGAAGUCACGCUGAAGCAGGAAGUGCGGGAUCCUGGAUGUGGAGCCCAGCCCAGCAUCAGAAGGAUGCUUUCUGGAGGGAUAGUAUGCUCCAGUUACAGAGGGACUCUGGCCCCACUACAGGCAGAAAGGCUAAGUUGGGCAGGGCUGUCUCUUUGAAGAGCUGGAUCUCGGGGAAAGGAGGUCACAGAGAUUUGAGUCAAGCUUAAAACCUUCCUGUCUGGAGCAUCUUCUCUGACCUGGCCUAUUUUUAGAAGUUUCUUUUAAGGUCAGCGUGGGAAGCCAUGGAUUCAGCCGCAUGCAUUCCCCUGGACACUCUCCACAGCCAGCACGUUUAAAAUGGAGCCACUGAGAAAAGGAGCUGGGGACACUCAGCAGGGUCAGCUGGCACCCUCCCAUGCUGUAUUGUCCCUGAGGAGUAGCCACCAUCACAAUGGCCUGGCACAGAGCUAACACCCAUCACAGAUGCAAGCUGCCAGUUCCUGGGCCACUGGGCCAGCACAUUAGCAUGGAUGGUUCAGAUGCGGAAACUGUAGCUAACUGAGAAACAACGGUCAUCAGAGGCCACAAAACAAGGGCUGCGGUGAAUCCAACAUGUCUCCCAUUGGCUCUUCAUUUUUGACAGGUUCUCAUGUAUCCUAAGCUGACCUCAAACUCAUUCUGUGACUAAGUAUGGCCUUGAACUCCUGAUUUUCCCACCCCAGCUCUCAAGUCCUGAGGUUGUAAACACAUACCCCGACUCUCAGGUGAUGUGAUGCUGGACCCCAGGGCUUUGUGUAUGCUAAGCAACAUUCUACCACAGCCCCAGCCAUGGGCUCAUACUUUGAAUGCUUUACCUACAGCUACGGAGAACUAUUUUGAAGGCUGAUCAAAAUAUGUCAUUAGGGGUGGGUCUUCAGCUGUGGUCUCUGCUUCCUGCCUGUUGCCAUGUGAACAAGCCAUCACUACCAGUUCCCACCGCCAUACACCAAGACCUCCAGUCUACCUUUUCUGCCGUGAUGAACAGGAACUCACAGAAACAGUGAAAAUAAAUCUUUCCUCUCUGGCGCUAUCUGCGGUGGGCUUGAGAGAUGCAGAGAGGAAAGACCACGCAGCAUUACUCCCCCUCCCCCUUUCCGGAAUCCACGGAGGAGUCAUCCUCUUAAUUCUGCACAAGAAUCUCAGGAGAGAAUCUGAUUGGCUGAACUCUUUUGUCCUUGUUUAAGGGAGGGGCAGUAUUUUGAUUGACAGGUCCUUCCUCCGUGUGUGUGUGUGUGUGUGUGUGUGUGUGUGUGUGUGUGUGUGUGCGCGCACACACACACACACACACACACACACACAUGAGUAGGCACCCACACUGAAGCCACUGCCCAUGAACAGGAGGAUGAACAGUCCCCGGAAGCAAAGGAAGAUUCUAGAAAGCACUCCAUUCCUUAAAGACUUCUGGGGAUUAGCAUGCUACCCGUUGACUUCCAUCCUCUGCCUUUACAUCCCUCUGGUAAGUCUGUGUGAGGAAAGUUAGUUAAUUCCACGGCUGUGCACAGCUGGCCGUGACUCAACCAUCAAAACCAUGUCUAUAAAUGUAGGAGCCGGGCUGGCAAGGGUCCAGAACAGCCAGGGCAGGGUUUACUCUCAGUGCCCAAUGUGAUCUCCAACUGGAGAUGUGUGCUAGACCACUGACCAGAUAAAGCACUAAUGAAUGAGAGGAGGGAAUAGGACAGAUCGCCAAAGUCCUAUGGAUAGCUAGAGGACUGCAGAUCCCGCUCGCUCUAGCUGCCAAUCUUCUCAGUCUGGAAUAAGCCACGCCCACAUGAGCCAAGCAGCUACACCACGCCCAUUUUUGUACUAAAGGCAGGCACCGCCCCUCAAACAGCACUCAGCUGCCCUGGCCAUCAGGGGGCUCCACUAUGCUCUGAGAUGAAGGAUGGGACCAAGGAACCUUCAGACCUGCACUGAACUCCUAAGACCAAGGUUCCUAAAACCAUGGGUUUUCCAGGGCACUGAUUCCGGGAAGGAAACGGAAGCCUUGAAGUCCCAAUUCAGCUCAGCCUUCCGUGUUCAUGGAAGUUACUCCCAAGCUUCAGCCAUUGUCAAGCAAACAGAAAUGGCCAGAAGGACCUAGCUUUCGGAGUAUUUUUAUAUGACAGAGAAAGAAAAAAAAAUCACAAAUUCCCCUACCCUUCACUCAAAAAAGAUUUGUUAGUAGCAACUCACUCUUGGAGUGAGGAGAGGGAGGGCUGGGGGUGUCUUGUGUAUAUUCAACAAACUGUUUCUUCCUCUCUGUCUCUGUCAAAAUAAUUGUCAACUCUAUGGAGCUGUGCACGUGUCUGUCUCUAUGUGUGUUUUUAUAGAACGAAGAGGAGACAGGGCUUCUUGUCUUAACUUUGAGACCCAGAGGUCGGGAUGCGAUGGACUUUCACCUUCUCUCCUAUUCCAUUUCAGGACAGUUGGCUUCUUGCAAAAGGAUCUCUGUUCUUCCGAAAGCCACAGAGCUUCUCAGGAUCUGUUUUCUGCGAAAUCAGGGUGGAAAGACAGACCUCACUGUGGAUGCGUCUACCCUGCUGCUGCUACUGCCGCUGCCGCCGCCGCCACCACCACCACCAUCCUCAGCUGACUCGGGAACUCCACUUCCUCAGCCUUCCACUAUGGAAGACCAGGGGCUCUCGAGGAACUCACCAGGCCUCCAAUACCAGAUAAGAACUGCUGGGGCAUCCAGCCUCGAGGACAGAACAACCACUGGUUCUCAGCCUCUGAUAUGAUGACAGCCAUUGUUGGACUAUACUAUAUCAUGGAAGCCAAUCUAAUAAACCCCCUCUUGAUAUAUAUUCAGCCUAUUACUUCUGUUCCUCUAGAGAGCCCCUACUAAUAGACAGAACAGAUCUCAAUAUAAGGUCACUGGUGCAAGUGGCUCAUUCUGGAGGCACCUCCUGGAAGCCCAAGAGAGGGAGUGGGGGAAUAGAGCAAGCAAGGAAGGAAUCUAAAAAUACAUGUGCUGUGGACUGGGGACCCAGGCUGAAUUCUGCUGGGCCCUCUGAUAAACCCAUACAUGGUCAGUCCAUGGAAUUCUUAGGGGACAGGGGGCGGAGAUGGGGGGGGCUGGAAUGCUGACCCACCAUUGGCUCGGAGAUUUCCAAGACCAUGGGAUCAGUCUCAAGACAGAGAAGAGGUUGAAGGGGAUUGAGAUGAAAAACUACCAAUGACUAGAAACAGUGGCCCAGUCACAAAUGACCCAACCAGCUGAGAAAGGGUCAGCCCACUACAGCAUCUGAUGCCUAUAGACAGGCAAUGCCUUCCUGGAUCAAAUGUAGAGAACGCAGGGCUUGAACGAGAAUGACAGAGCUAGAAGACCUGUCGGGGGAAUGUGUAACUAUUCUAUGUGACCAUCCCGGGUGUCUUGGUGGGACAGGCCAAUAAACCUCCAGGCCCCCAGCAAGAGAAUGAAGAAUAGGUGUUGAAAGGAGACUUUGAGUCACCUCACCUGCAGGGACAAAGAGAAGUCAGGGCUCAACUCCAGAAGCUAGUUUCCUUCUUGGAAUGCUCACUGUGGAAGCCACAAGCUGCCCAGAACCCAGAGAGGCUGAGCCUCUUGCAUGGUGGUAACAAAACAGGAAGUAGCUACAGAGCACUGUUGUAACCAUCAUUAGUAUAUGCAAUCACUCAAGUUCACUGUUCAGGUGGCUGGCCUGCCAUGUCCCUCAGACCCACCCGACAAAGCUCCCGUUUCCACGUGUCCCGCUCACAAAGCCAAGGUCUGUCUUCUCCCAGGAAGUGCUCUGCUCCUUCAUGCUGGAUAAAGCGUGGGUGCAAUCUCGUAUCCUGGACAGGAUGAAAGCCAUCUUUCAGAGUCCAGCCAUGUUGGAACGAUCCACACAUCCGCUAUUUAAAGGUCAGCAUUAGGGACUUCAACCUCCGGUUGUAGAGAUGAGAUGCUGAGCCGGGUGGACAAUCCUUCCUUUCAGAGUGAAGACCCACGGGUCCUCGGGAGAUUCAAGAAGUCCACAGCUUCCUUCUGGGCUUUGGCUGUAAACCGUCUAUUUCCACGUUCCUCCCUCAGGCCGUUGUUUCAUUAUUCAAGAGAUGAAUUUUUCAAAGAACCCAUCAGAGCAGGUGCUGAAGAAU